AGAAAGGAAUAGAAAUAGGGAGAAAGAAAAUUAUAGAGAGAGGAGGAAAGUUCUAGAGAGAGAGAAGGAGGUAGCCGCCGCUCCGGCCACGAGGAGUCCGGUUCCGGCCGAGCCUUCUUCAUGAAAUCUUCACAGAACUUAGAAGAGAACAUUCUUAACUUUUAGAUCAUCGAAAACCAUCAAGAAAUGAGGAAAAAUCUAAAGAGGAUUACGCUCAAAACCUGAGAAGGAAGUUGUAAUCGAUUCAGAUCGGAAAUGGGAGUUUCGGCGUUCGUCAAAGAGGGUUUAAAUGAGAAAAUUCAGUAUUUGUGGACACUCUACUGGUGUAGAAAUGCUCAACGAAGAACACGCGUCAAUCGGGUGCCGGUCGAGGUGGAGGAGCGUUCGAGAGCUGUGCGGUCACAGAGGGGGUCGUUCCGGAGCGUCAGUCCCUUGUCGGUCUUUUCGAGUCUUUUGUGUUUCAUUUUACAUUUGUAAUUUUCUUUGUAAUAAUUUCGAAACUAAUCUUCUCUCUCUUGUUUUAACCAAAUGGAGUUUUUAUCUUUUUACUUUUCUCUUCUUCUAUUUUCUUUUUGUUUAUUUUCGAUUUCGUCUUUUAGUUCACGGUCUGAUUUUCGAAGCCUUGAAAAUCGGGUCUUGACAGAUUGGUAUCAGAGCAGUCGGUUUUUGAUUCUGUAGACUUUAUUUUUAGGAUAGAGAGUCGUACACCUCUGUGACUCAGCUCGACAACACGCCUCGCCGCGACCAGGUAUGCAGUCUAACCCUGUUUAGUAGAUUAUGUUAUGAUGUAAAGCAUGGGAAUUUGAUGUUUGUCUUAGGUUAUGUGGUAGCUAUGAUUAUGCCUUAGGGCGAUAAAUAAUGAAUGAUCACUCUAUACGUCAAUGCUAGAUACGAGUUAUUGCGAGGAGGCCGAGAGAGGUCAUGUUAUAGCUUACUAGCCUUAGGGAGAUAGAGAGAUGACGUCGCAGAGUGCGAGACGUCCAAAGAUGAACAUGAGACUUUCUAAGGCCUAGUACGAGGUGAAUUACCUAGGACCCAGCCUCCUGUGACCAUAAUUCUUGAUGACAAGCAUGCCUCCGUGGAGAGCAUGUAGAAGGCUUAGACAGUAUAGAGCAUGCCUUAGUAUAAACCACAAAGGUAGACCCAAGCAAUAUUGUUCGUACAACCAAAGACGAUCACUAUAGGAAUUAAAUACCCCUCAAGCAAACCAUUACCUCAACUGAGUUUUGGUUAAGUCGGGAAGUCGAGAGAUAAAAUUCACCAACAAUGAGAGUGAAGCGAUGAAGGUCAUGACUUCAAGGUUUGAUUGGAGUCUUCACAGGCUAAAUUCAAGUUUAUGGACUUCCAAAAGUGUGAUGUGCCCUUUUAUGCCACUAAUGGGAUAUGGGGUGUAGGAUAUUCCUAUGGAUGGAUCACCUAAUGGAUGACAAGUCGUUUUGGACCCUGGAGUAGAGGACCGAGUCCAAUAGCAGCACGUGGUUAUGAGGAUCAUAUGAACGUGUUCUAACUUAUUCUUGGUCAGAACAUACAUGCUUACAAACGUGAAAACUGUUAAGGUAAUCCAGUGAACCUUAAGAUUAAGAACAGCAGGAAAAAGCGGUCAAGCUAUGGCCAUGCCUUCGUGUCUGGAGGGAGAAAGUUCAUAUGCAUGUUAGUAAGAACCAACCCUUGUUUAGGUUAUCUGGAUUACAAAGAGUAGAACUCUAUUUUUACACAUAAGUGUAAGACCAUACUUGUGAAGCAUGCUCAGACAGAAGUAGAGACGCUAGAUAACGUGAGAUUGGAAACUACCUGAAGAGUAGUGAGAUGGUGAUAGUACAUUAGUAAGGGAAGCAGAAGACAUAAUGCGUCUUAGGGAAAACCUUGGACAUAGAUAAAAGUAUCCUCAGAGCUUGAGGAAGACUAGUUACCAAACAAGAGUUUUUAGAGAGUUUCAUAGGAUCCUUUACAAAAACUUGAGAGAUGCACACGCACGAGCCAAUAUAAGAUAUGACUACGAAAGGAAACGUGACUUGAUCAACCAUAAGACACUACAGGAGUUGACCUAAGUGAAUGUAGAGGACUUAUACGAGGAACCUUUACUUUCAAAAGAGCCUGCAUUUAGCUCAGAUGAGUAUUAGUACUCAGGCGAGCUACAUGACAAGUUAUCUUGUUGUGAGGAAAGACCUAUGUUGGCCAAUUGGGAGCUAAUUACGAGACCAUUCUUGGUGAAGUAGUAGGUUUGUAAGGGUCUCGACAAGUUUAGGAUACCUCAUAUGAGGAUCAGGGAGAGAGAUAUAUCGAAGACAACUACUAGGAGCAAUCACGAGGAAGGAAAGUUUAUUGAUAAGUCUUUCGACCUAAUCAAUGUCUUGCUAAGGUUUAGGUUAUGACUAAUCGAACGUUUAAGGAAUUUUCUUGUUAUCGUCAGAGACGACUUCAAUGACGAUAUGUCGUUGUACACCAAGAUGGAGUUAGUUGGCAAGGAGGGGAAAGUUAUGAUGGUGUUAUGAACAUAACAAUUGUACGCUAAGUUCCCUAAGAGCAAGUUUUGGCUGUCUGAGAUGACAAUUGAGGUUAUGUGUAGUCAAACAGAAAGAUCACAGU